rnacentral:rRNA from 1 species
ACUCCUACGGGAGGCAGCAGUGGGGAAUAUUGGACAAUGGGGGCAACCCUGAUCCAGCAAUGCCGCGUGUGUGAAGAAGGCCUGCGGGUUGUAAAGCACUUUUAUCGGGGAAGAAUAGGUUGUCGUUAAUAGCGCCAACACUUGACAUUACCCGUUGAAUAAGCACCGGCUAACUCCGUGCCAGCAGCCGCGGUAAU